rnacentral:rRNA from 1 species
AUUGAACGCUGGCGGCAUGCUUUACACAUGCAAGUCGAACGGCAGCACGGGGGCAACCCUGGUGGCGAGUGGCGAACGGGUGAGUAAUGCAUCGGAACGUAUCUUCAAGUGGGGGAUAACGCAUCGAAAGAUGCGCUAAUACCGCAUAAUCUCUGAGGAGAAAAGCAGGGGAUCGCAAGACCUUGCGCUUCUGGAGCGGCCGAUGUCGGAUUAGCU